CAUCAACGCUGGCGGCGUGCCUCAGACAUGCAAGUCGAACGAUUAAAGCUCUCUUCGGAGAGUGCAUAGAGUGGCGCACGGGUGAGUAACACGUAAGUAAUCUACCUUCGAGUGGGGAAUAACGUCCGGAAACGGACGCUAAUACCGCAUAAUGCAGCGGCAUCGCAGGAUGACAGUUGUUAAAGAUUUAUCGCUUGAAGAGGAGCUUGCGGCAGAUUAGCUAGUUGGUAAGGUAAUGGCUUACCAAGGCUACGAUCUGUAACCGGUCUUAGAGGACGGUCGGUCACACUGACACUGAAUAACGGGUCAGACUCCUACGGGAGGCAGCAGUCGGGAAUUUUGGGCAAUGGGCGAAAGCUUGACCCAGCAACGCCGCGUGAAGGAUGAAGUAUUUCGGUAUGUAAACUUCGAAAGAAUGGGAAGAAUAAAUGACGGUACCAUUUAUAAGGUCCGGCUAACUACGUGCCAGCCGCCGCGGUAAAAC
rnacentral:rRNA from 1 species